UACGAAGGGGGCUAGCGUUGUUCGGAAUUACUGGGCGUAAAGCGCGCGCAGGCGGUUCUUCAAGUCAGUGGUGAAAGCCCGGAGCUCAACUCCGGAACUGCCAUUGAAACUGUAGAACUUGAGGACGAGAGAGGUGAGUGGAAUUCCCAGUGUAGAGGUGAAAUUCGUAGAUAUUGGGAAGAACACCGGUGGCGAAGGCGGCUCACUGGCUCGUUUCUGACGCUCAGGCGCGAUAGCGUGGGGAGCAAACAGG
rnacentral:rRNA from 1 species